rnacentral:rRNA from 1 species
UACGAAGGGGGCUAGCGUUGUUCGGAAUUACUGGGCGAAGCGCACGUAGGCGGAUAUUUAAGUCAGGGGUGAAAUCCCGGAGCUCAACUCCGGAACUGCCUUUGAUACUGGGUAUCUUGAGUAUGGAAGAGGUAAGUGGAAUUGCGAGUGUAGAGGUGAAAUUCGUAGAUAUUCGCAGGAACACCAGUGGCGAAGGCGGCUUACUGGUCCAUUACUGAC